rnacentral:rRNA from 1 species
CUUUGUUGGCUUCCGAGUUGUAAUUUGCAGAGGGAGCCUCGGAGGGCUGGUCGGUCCAAGUGCCUUGGAACAGGAUACCGCAGAGGGUGAGAGUCCCGUAUCCGGCCGACGCAGUGCUCCGUGUGAGGCCUCUUCGACGAGUCGAGUUGUUUGGGAAUGCAGCUCUAAGUGGGUGGUAAAUUCCAUCUAAAAGCUAAAUACUGGCCAGAGACCGAUAGCGAACAAGUAGAGUGAUCGAAAGAUGAAAAGCACUUUGAAAAGAGAGUUAAACAGUACGUGAAAUUGUUGAAAGGGAAGCGCAUGGGGGCAGACUUGGACGCGGGGUUCAGGGUCUCUUUUUUGGAGGCGUGUACUUCCCCGCGGACAGGCCAGCAUCGGUUCUGGGGGGCCGGACAAAGGCGACGGGAACGUGGCUCUCUUCGGGGAGUGUUAUAGCCCGACGUGCAAUGCGGCCACCUGGGACCGAGGACCGCGCUUCGGCAAGGAUGCUGGCGUAAUGGCCUCAUGCGGGCCCGUCUUGAAACACGGACCAAGGAGUCUAACAUCUAUGCGAGUGUUUGGGUGGCAAGCCCGGACGCGCAAUGAAAGUGAACGGAGGUGGGAGCCCUUUCCCGCGUGGAGGGGGUGCAGCAUCGACCGAUCCGGACGUUUUCUGAAGGAUUUGAGUAAGAGCAUAGCUGUUGGGACCCGAAAGAUGGUGAACUAUGCGUGAAUAGGGUGAAGCCAGAGGAAACUCUGG